UGGCCUGAAGACCGCGGGUGACUAGCAUACAGAUACCCGUGCUCUUACUUUCUGUCCUUCCACUGACAUGGCCCACUGGGGUGGGGAGAGGGACUUCCAGACUUCAGCUCGAUGCAUGGGCACCUCACUCCUCUUCCUGCUUUCAGUGCACAAACGGGAGCUGGACCUGGUUUUUCUGGAUUAUAGCUAUGCCAAGCCUUAAAGUGCCCACCAAGAUGCCAAUAGCACCCACCUCACCCGCAUGCUCUUUGUCACUCCCCAGGGGCAGCACAAAAGUACCAUAUGAUUGUUAAAUACCUGUGAAGUAUGUGUGGCCCGGUCCUAUUUCCUCACCUGUUUACAGGGAAUCAGACAUCCCAAUAGAUGGGAGACGGUAUGUCAACCCCUGUGCCACUCUAUGACAAUCAGAAGGCAUGCAGCAUGAUGAAUGCGUGUGAACGGCAUGUCAUCUUCUCCAGAACUGAUGCAGAUGCCCCUCCUCCACCAGAGACUGUGAGGAGUACGUCAACAGGACUGGCUGGACAAUGGCCCAGAGCAAGCUAUUCAACAAGAUCCUCAAAGCCCUGCAGUCUGACCAGCUUGCCCACUUGGCCAGUGAAGGGGCUUGUAAUGAGCCAGUGCUGCACCGUGUUGCUGUGGACAAGUGUGUGAGGAGAGUGCAGCCAGCUCUGGCAAGUGUGAGCUGGGACACCAAGCUUAUCCAAUGGCUGCACACCACCCUUAUGGAGACCUUGAGUCUGCCCAUGCUGGCAGCCUACCUGGAUGCUUUGCAGAUGCUGAAGGGGAAGAUCCCAACCUUGAUUGACCGGAUGCUUCUGUCAUCCAACACGAAGGCUGGGGCUGCAGGAGCUGAAGCCUUGUCUCUCCUACUGAAGAGGACCUGGGACCCUGCUGUGGAGGCGCGUUCUCAUUACAAACCAAGCAAACUCCCUGGCACCCCAUUGAUUCUCAUCACUUUCUCUGGUCCCUCCAGCUCUGUGAUUCCCACUUCAUGCCACCACCGAUUCUGGCACUCUCAGCUCUCCUGCUCAGGCAAGGUCAUCCCUGUAGCCACCCAUCUGCUGAACAAUGGCAGUGGGGUAAGAGUUUUGCAGUGUCUCGAGCAUAUUAUUGGGGCGGUGAGAAGCAAAGUGCUGGAGAUUCACAGCCAUUUCCCACACAAACCCAUUAUCUUGAUUGGCUGGAACACAGGAGCUUUGGUGGCCUGUCAUGUGUCAGUGAUGGAGUGUGUCACUGCAGUUGUCUGCCUUGGGUUUCCUCUAUUUAUUGUGGAUGGCCCAAGAGGGGAUAUAGAUGAUCCCCUCCUGGAUAUGAAGACUCCAGUCCUCUUUGUCGUUGUUCAGAAUUCCCUUCAGUGUCACCCUGAAGCCAUGGAGGGCUUCGGGGAGAGGAUUUGAGCUGAGAGCAGCUUGGUAGUGUUUGGGGGAGCUGAUGAGAAUCUCAGAAUAAGCAAAGCAAGGAAAAAAUCAGAAGAAUUGACUCAGAGCAUGGUGGACAGAUGUAUUCAGGAAGAGAUUGUGGACUUUCUGACUGGAGUGCUCACUCGUGCUGAGGGUCAUCUGGGCUCUGAACCUCAGGGUCAGGAUGCGGAGAAGAAGCCCCACGACGUAGCCUGCAGAGACUUGGCCUUUGAAGUCCCUGAGAGGGGCAGUCAACCUGCUUCCCCAGCUGCCAAGCUGCCCGACUUGCCCUCAGGAGAGGAUCUCUCCAGUGUGUCCAGCAGCCUCACCUCCAGUCUCAAGACCAAAGUGACCACAGUGACCUCUGCCCUGAAGUCCGGUCAGAUUGGAAGCUCUCAGCUGCUGAAGAGACAUGUGCAGCGAGCGGACAGAAGCUGUGCUGAUCCACAAACGAGCUCAAGUUCCCAUUUCAUCAGAACCAGUGGAGGAAGGAGAGAAAGAGGAUCUUAGGGUCCAGCUGAAGUGAUGCCAUCCCUCAAGUCCUCUUCCUGGCAGUAAGACCUCCAAGCAACCCAAGAUUAAGGUGUCCCUUAUCUCCCAAGGGGAUACAGCUGGAGGGCCUUGUGCUCCUACCCAAAGAAGUGUUCCAGAAGGUAGGAAGCCCAUCACCAUUACACGGGGGCAGGCUUCAGCAGGGGCCAAGGAGCUCACGGGACUUCUCACCACAGCCAAGUCCAGUGCUUCUGAAGGUGGAGUCUCAGCCAGCCCAGCCCCUUCAGGGGUCCUCAGCAGCACUGCACCCAGUGCCUUGCACAUGCUGCAGAGCCACUUAGUGGUCACCUCUCCUGGAAGCUCCCCCCAGGUGCCACAUCAGCCAGCAGCCUCCUCCAAGGCCUCAGCUUCAGUUUGCAGGAUAUCAGUAGCAAGACCUCUGGCCUUUCACAAAUCCCUCCCUAGGAACAGCCCCACAGGCCACCAGUAUUAAGUUGCCCACCCCCAUGCAGAGCCUGGGUGCCAUCAUCACGGGCACCAGCAUCAUUGUCCGUACCAUUCCUGUGGCCACAACUCUCUCCUCCUUGGGUGCCACUCCUGGUGGGAAGCCCACAGCCAUUCACCAGCUGCCAACCAAUGGGACCUCGCUAAGUUGGCAAGCAGCCUCCCUGGGCUGGCUCAGAUCUCUAACCAAGCAUCAGGCUUGAAGGUCCCCACCACCAUUACUCUGACACUUCGUGGCAAGCUGAGCAGGAUCACCACGCUGAACCCCAUGGGCUCAGGAGCAGCUCCAUCCAAGGAGCCCCCUUCCCAGGUGCUGCCCUCCAGCUCACAGCACCUGCCUCCAGCACCCUGAAGAUGUGACAUGUCCUCCUUACCAAGUUGGUGAUGGCUGUCUCACGGUGUGCCCUGGGCACGUGUGUGGUCCUGCUGAGUUGUCCACGUUCCUGAAGACUUCUUUAAGACCAUCAUUUUUGCCUCUCUGCCAACUGUCUUCAGAGUCGGGCUGUUGAAUCUUCAGAGAAACCAUUAGGUUAGGUGAUAAAGCACCAGCAAGGGAAACACCAUCAUCCAGGAUCUGCAAAUCUGGUUCCUGGGCUCCCCAGCCUCCUCAGCAGAUCUGACUGUGCAUGGAUCAGAGGCACCUCUUCCCCUGUUUAAGCUGCGGUUUGACCCAAGCAUCAGUAUUGGACCGCCUGCUGCAUAAUAAAGAUGUUUCCUUUUGGAGGUCUGUGCUACCCUCUGUGCCCAGUUGGGAGGAGACAUCCAUAUGGUCUGGGACUUCUGGGCUUCGGGAGUUAGAAUGGAAAGCCCUUUGCUGAAGACUGGAGUCAUCCUGGCCUACCAAAUGGUGGUUCAGAGCCAGAGGGGCUUGUUUAGGACAUCACUGUUGCCUUCGCUGAGCAGCCGUGGGAGAGUGUUCCCCACGCAACUCCACCUUAGAAACCAUACCAGGUACUGAGUAGCCUGCUGACACCUGAAAACUUCCGGUUUUUGUUAGCAUCAUAAUGAAGGCAAAGAGAACUAGGCUGCCAUUUUUCAGCCUCAUUGACUUACUCUAGAUGUUAGGAGCAGUGGCUGCCAGGGGAAACCUGGCCCCUUUGUCUUUUUCACCAUGCUCUGGGCAGUUUCUGUAUCCAGAGAAUCCGCAGGUUCAGAUAGGCUGAAGAAGAGAAAUGGAACAGCAAAGGAAGUGGCUUGAAGGGCGUGCCAGUAAGCCCUGUGGUUUGGGCUUAGGUCUCUGCUCUGCCACCCAAGGAACUAGUGAUUCAGCUGGAGAUAAAGAGAAGAAUUUGCAAAGUCGGAGAAGAAACCCCAACCCCUGAAAACCCUCUGUCUCCAGUCUCUGGAGGGGAAGCAGGGACGACAAGUUAAGGUAGUAUCUUGGCCAUCCCAGGAAACUUGUGGCAUCAGGACGAUGAAGGCCAUGCUUCAGCGUUUUCGUUUCUAUUUCAUGAGACUUUGUCUACCUGCUUAGAAGUGGGAAGAUGAUCGACAAUGACUCUACUAUGCAGGGCUGUUGGUACCAGUGAGCCCUGUAGGUGGCAGCCCCUGGAGAAUUGGUCACAGAAGAGGGAGCUCUGAGCCCCUGCUUAUCUCUUCAUAACACUUGUGUGCAAAGAUAGUUUUAGAUUUGGUUUUGAAGCUAUCCUCCAGAACAGGCUCCCACACUUAGAAUGUUUCCAGUUAAGGUAAUAAAUUAGGCAACCCAAGUGUAACUCUAUUCAGCGUCCUUUUCUGUAGGCAGGAAGAGCCUACAACAUGGCUUAAAUUAGAGUCCAUGGUCCUGACCCACAGUACAAUAGGUAGCUAUACCAGGCCACCUGUGUUCAAUCUGGGAACCUUCCUGGCCAGUCUGAGUGGCAGUCAGAAGGCAGUGCUUAGUGUCUAGGAGUCUCAGGCAAGGUAGGUCAGGGUACUGUGGGCAGGAGGGAUGUGUGUGAUAGGAGAGGGUACCCUAAACACCACACCUUCCCUCCCUGACCUGAAAAGCUGAUCUCAACAGGGAUUCACAGAGAAUUAGGCUGUGUUUUUGCAUUAGCUGGUGACUUUCUGAAAUUUCUUGAAUUCAGGAAGUUUUUAGUAAACUUGAGGAAGGUAUGAAAUCUGAGGAGGCAUCCAGGACCCAGGGAUUUGAUGGCUUUACAGGUAGGUUCAUAUCACACCAAAAGAGCAGAGGGCAGUAAGACUAUAUGAGCUAUGUGAAGUUUUAGGAAUCAUUCAGGCCAGACAGAGCCCCAAACAAGCCAUUCAUGACUUAAGAAAAGUUGUUGGUUCAGUGUAUGCGGGGGACAAAGAAAAACUAACAAGCUGACCUGCCUUUAUGGGAAAUUCUAGUAUACUUGUAAUGGAUGACUUCCUGAGGUAUGGUCUGUCCACCUUGAAGAACACCACAACUGAAGAAGGGGAGCUGUGAGAACGUGGAUUGUUUUACACCUUGGACAGGGUAACAGAUGAAGUGGUUGAGGCCUCGAGUCGCAUUUUCCAGUUCCCUUCGCAAACUAUAUUUCUUGAAAUACAAAAGGAAGCUUUACCUAUUUCAUAGAAGACCUGGAAUCCAUAACCUCGGAAGGUGGUACUAUUGGUAGAAAAUGUGAAAGGAUCAGGAAGGUCUUAAAUUCUUGGAUGACAGACGCAUGUUGAUGCCCUAUGGAGAUAUCCUUGUGCUUUGAGGUCACUGAGGUAGGAAGACCUUCUACUCUUGGCCCCAGCACUACUACAGUCUUGGGCUAGAUGGGUUAUAGGGCUGAGCAGCUGUGAUGGUUCUGUUCUUACAUUAGCAAAAACAAUUAAAAACA